GUCCCUGUAGCGCAGUGGAAGGCGCGUUGGACUUAAGAUCUAAAGGGCGUGUGUUCGAGUCCCACCUGGGAUG